rnacentral:rRNA from 1 species
GAUGAACGCUGGCGGCGUGCCUAAUACAUGCAAGUCGAGCGAACAGACGAGGAGCUUGCUCCUCUGACGUUAGCGGCGGACGGGUGAGUAACACGUGGAUAACCUACCUAUAAGACUGGGAUAACUUCGGGAAACCGGAGCUAAUACCGGAUAAUAUAUUGAACCGCAUGGUUCAAUAGUGAAAGACGGUUUUGCUGUCACUUAUAGAUGGAUCCGCGCCGCAUUAGCUAGUUGGUAAGGUAACGGCUUACCAAGGCAACGAUGCGUAGCCGACCUGAGAGGGUGAUCGGCCACACUGGAACUGAGACACGGUCCAGACUCCUACGGGAGGCAGCAGUAGGGAAUCUUCCGCAAUGGGCGAAAGCCUGACGGAGCAACGCCGCGUGAGUUAUGAAGGUCUUCGGAUCGUAAAACUCUGUUAUUGGGGAAGAACAAAUGUGUAAGUAACUAUGCACGUCUUGACGGUACCUAAUCAGAAAGCCACGGCUAACUACGUG